rnacentral:rRNA from 1 species
UACGUAGGGGGCAAGCGUUGUCCGGAAUCAUUGGGCGUAAAGCGCGCGUAGGCGGCCCUGUAAGUCCGUUGUGAAAGUCGAAGGCUCAACCUUCGAAAGCCGAUGGAUACUGCAGGGCUAGAGUCCGGAAGAGGCGAGUGGAAUUCCUGGUGUAGCGGUGGAAUGCGCAGAUAUCGGGAAGAACACCCGUGGCGAAGGCGGUUCUCUGGGACGGUACUGACGCUGAGACGCGAAAGCGUGGGGAGCGAACAGG